UCAAUGGAAAACAUGCAGCAAAUUAGGCGAUGGUGGUGCCUAGUUCUCCUGCAGAACUUUCCCAUGCCGUCUGAAGAAGAGAGGUUGAAAGAUCGAAAAAGG